GAACUGUUUAAAGAACUGCUGGGGAGAGUUCAAGACUGGCAGGUUCCAGUAAGGAAGAAGGACAAGGAUGGCAAGAUGCUGCCAGACCUACCUGAUUUCAUCAGCACUUUCUACGUUUAUUUCACAUUUCCAGCGUCCACUAUAUUUUGCUUUUAUUGGAGGUGGAUUUUCUUCUUUUGAAUUUGUGGGAUCGUGCCUCAGUUCAAUUGAGGCAUUCCAGAGACCACUUGAUGAUUGUUUGGAUAGAAACAAAAAUGUGCAGGGCUAUGGAUGGAAAGAGAAGGGUGUCUGGCAUUACGUAAUGAUAUUAGUUUGAAGAGCUGAUGCAGGCAAGAUGGGUUGAAUAGCCUCCUUCUGCACUAUGAUAACUUUGUGGUCCUGUGAUUAUACAUGCAGUGAACAUCACUUCACGUUGAGACAGGUUAUUCCUACACUGCUAGAUCUCGCUGGGAAGAUUUUCCACAUCCAAGUGAAUCCACUGAACAAGUUAUAGCUAAGCACUUAGAGAAGUUCAACAUAAUCAGGAACCAUCAGCAGAGCUUUGUGAAAUGGAAACUAUACUGAAGCAAUUUAGUAAACAUCUUUGAAGAAGUAACAUAUGCUGUGGGUAAAGGAGAGCCUGUGGAUGUUCAACACUUGGAUUUCCAGAAGUACCAUAUCCUCUGGUAUAGCAAGCAGUGUAUUAGCAUAGCAUGAUCAGAAGAUUGACUGGCUGGCAUUAAACAGACAACAUGUA